AUGUAUUUGUACAUACACUUUGUGUAAAUUUAAUAGUAUCCACUAGAUAUACCUAACCAUAUGAAGAACUAAUAGAUCCUUGUUUUUGGGUCUUCUCAGUAACAUCAACUGAAGCUGUUCCAAACUUUACAACUAUGUCUAUGAAGAAAGGAACAUGAAUUUGUUGUGACAAAUCUGAUUUCACACCAACCAUAAUGAAGUAAAAACUGAAUGUUUAAAUUUCAUUAUUGACAUGUUUAUUAGUGUAAAACAUAAUUUGAUACAACAGAUCUUGUUCAGAAGGAUGGUGUUGCAUGAGCAACAUGGCCGGCAAAGUUCUUUUGAGUGAGAAUGCAGCGCCCACGACUCCGCCCUGGAACGGUGGAGCAUGGAUUUUUUUGAGAACCUCGCACGGUGCCUCUUUGGAGUGACUGUAUUAUUAGAUUCUUGUGAAGCCAUUGCUCCUCUUCUAAUGGCCUUGAAGCAUAUAUUUGAUGUAAACCCAAUAGAAGAAUCGUUGUGAACACAAACAUCUUUGUGUAGCAAUUCAUUAUUGUGGAUGAGGGAAUCAAACUUUAGGAUAUAGUAAAUAAUUCGAAGUUUAGUUUGAGAAGGAGGAUAUAAAGGAGCAAGGAUUGUUAAAACUCAAGAGAAGCAAAAAUAUUGGUAUAUAUUAUCAGUGAUGACAAUG
rnacentral:lncRNA from 1 species